GAUGAACGCUGGGGGCGUGCCUAAUACAUGCAAGUCGAGCGAACAGACGAGGAGCUUGCUCCUCUGACGUUAGCGGCGGACGGGUGAGUAACACGUGGAUAACCUACCUAUAAGACUGGGAUAACUUCGGGAAACCGGAGCUAAUACCGGAUAAUAUAUUGAACCGCAUGGUUCAAUAGUGAAAGACGGUUUUGCUGUCACUUAUAGAUGGAUCCGCGCCGCAUUAGCUAGUUGGUAAGGUAACGGCUUACCAAGGCAACGAUGCGUAGCCGACCUGAGAGGGUGAUCGGCCACACUGGAACUGAGACACGGUCCAGACUACUACGGGAGGCAGCAGUAGGGAAUCUUCCGCAAUGGGCGAAAGCCUGACGGAGCAACGCCGCGUGAGUGAUGAAGGUCUUCGGAUCGUAAAACUCUGUUAUUAGGGAAGAACAAAUGUGUAAGUAACUAUGCACGUCUUGACGGUACCUAAUCAGAAAGCCACGGCUAACUACGUG
rnacentral:rRNA from 1 species